rnacentral:rRNA from 1 species
UUGAACGCUGGCGGCAGGCUUAACACAUGCAAGUCGAACGGUAACAGGAAUCAGCUUGCUGAUUCGCUGACGAGUGGCGGACGGGUGAGUAAUGUCUGGGAAACUGCCUGAUGGAGGGGGAUAACUACUGGAAACGGUAGCUAAUACCGCAUAACGUCGCAAGACCAAAGAGGGGGACCUUCGGGCCUCUUGCCAUCGGAUGUGCCCAGAUGGGAUUAGCUAGUAGGUGGGGUAACGGCUCACCUAGGCGACGAUCCCUAGCUGGUCUGAGAGGAUGACCAGCCACACUGGAACUGAGACACGGUCCAGACUCCUACGGGAGGCAGCAGUGGGGAAUAUUGCACAAUGGGCGCAAGCCUGAUGCAGCCAUGCCGCGUGUAUGAAGAAGGCCUUCGGGUUGUAAAGUACUUUCAGCGGGGAGGAAGGGAGUAAAGUUAAUACCUUUGCUCAUUGACGUUACCCGCAGAAGAAGCACCGGCUAACUCCGUGCCAGCAGCCGUGGUAAUACGGAGGGUGCAAGCGUUAAUCGGAAUUACUGGGCGUAAAGCGCACGCAGGCGGUUUGUUAAGUCAGAUGUGAAAUCCCCGGGCUCAACCUGGGAACUGCAUCUGAUACUGGCAAGCUUGAGUCUCGUAGAGGGGGGUAGAAUUCCAGGUGUAGCGGUGAAAUGCGUAGAGAUCUGGAGGAAUACCGGUGGCGAAGGCGGCCCCCUGGACGAAGACUGACGCUCAGGUGCGAAAGCGUGGGGAGCAAACAGGAUUAGAUACCCUGGUAGUCCACGCCGUAAACGAUGUCGACUUGGAGGUUGUGCCCUUGAGGCGUGGCUUCCGGAGCUAACGCGUUAAGUCGACCGCCUGGGGAGUACGGCCGCAAGGUUAAAACUCAAAUGAAUUGACGGGGGCCCGCACAAGCGGUGGAGCAUGUGGUUUAAUUCGAUGCAACGCGAAGAACCUUACCUGGUCUUGACAUCCACAGAACUUUCCAGAGAUGGAUUGGUGCCUUCGGGAACUGUGAGACAGGUGCUGCAUGGCUGUCGUCAGCUCGUGUUGUGAAAUGUUGGGUUAAGUCCCGCAACGAGCGCAACCCUUAUCCUUUGUUGCCAGCGGUCCGGCCGGGAACUCAAAGGAGACUGCCAGUGAUAAACUGGAGGAAGGUGGGGAUGACGUCAAGUCAUCAUGGCCCUUACGACCAGGGCUACACACGUGCUACAAUGGCGCAUACAAAGAGAAGCGACCUCGCGAGAGCAAGCGGACCUCAUAAAGUGCGUCGUAGUCCGGAUUGGAGUCUGCAACUCGACUCCAUGAAGUCGGAAUCGCUAGUAAUCGUGGAUCAGAAUGCCACGGUGAAUACGUUCCCGGGCCUUGUACACACCGCCCGUCACACCAUGGGAGUGGGUUGCAAAAGAAGUAGGUAGCUUAACCUUCGGGAGGGCGCUUACCACUUUGUGAUUCAUGACUGGGGUG